UACGGAAGGCAGCAGGGGGGAAUAUUGCACAAUGGGCGCAAGCCUGAUGCAGCCAUGCCGCGUGUAUGAAAAAGGCCUUCGGGUUGUAAAGUACUUUCAGUCGUGAGGAAGGUGUUAAGGUUAAUAACCUUAGCAAUUGACGUUAGCGACAGAAGAAGCACCGGCUAACUCCGUGCCAGCAGCCGCGGUAAUACGGAGGGUGCGAGCGUUAAUCGGAAUUACUGGGCGUAAAGGGCACGCAGGCGGUUAAUUAAGUUGGAUGUGAAAUCCCCGGGCUUAACCUGGGAAUGGCAUUCAAGACUGGUUUAGCUAGAGUCUUGUAGAGGGGGUAGAAUUCCAUGUGUAGCGGUGAAAUGCGUAGAGAUGUGGAGGAUACCGGUGGCGAAGGGCGGCCCCUGGACAAAGACUGACGCUCAUGUGCGAAAGCGUGGGGAGCAAACAGGGAUUAGAUACC
rnacentral:rRNA from 1 species